rnacentral:rRNA from 1 species
GAUGAACGCUGGCGGCGUGCCUAAUACAUGCAAGUCGAGCGAACAGACGAGGAGCUUGCUCCUCUGACGUUAGCGGCGGACGGGUGAGUAACACGGGGAUAACCUACCUAUAAGACUGGGAUAACUUCGGGAAACCGGAGCUAAUACCGGAUAAUAUAUUGAACCGCAUGGUUCAAUAGUGAAAGACGGUUUUGCUGUCACUUAUAGAUGGAUCCGCGCCGCAUUAGCUAGUUGGUAAGGUAACGGCUUACCAAGGCGACGAUGCGUAGCCGACCUGAGAGGGUGAUCGGCCACACUGGAACUGAGACACGGUCCAGACUCCUACGGGAGGCAGAAGUAGGGAAUCUUCCGCAAUGGGCGAAAGCCUGACGGAGCAACGCCGCGUGAGUGAUGAAGGUCUUCGGAUCGUAAAACUCUGUUAUUAGGGAAGAACAAAUGUGUAAGUAACUAUGCACGUCUUGACGGUACCUAAUCAGAAAGCCACGGCUAACUAC